rnacentral:rRNA from 1 species
UUGGUGAGGUAACGGCUCACCAAGGCUUACGGCUAGCUGGUCUGAGAGGACGAUCAGCCGCACUGGGACUGAGACACUGCCCAGACUCCUACGGGAGGCUGCAGUCGAGGAUCAUUCGCAAUGGGGGGAACCCUGACGAUGCGACGCUGCGUGGAGGAUGAAGGCCCUCGGGUCGUAAACUCCUGUCAUGAGGGGGUAAGAGAACACGGUAAACAGCCGUUGUUAUUUGACGGUACCUCAAGAGGAAGCCACGGCUAACUCUGUGCCAGCAGCCGCGGUAAUACAGAGGUGGCGAGCGUUGUUCGGAUUUACUGGGCGUAAAGGGCGCGUAGGCGGCGGCGUAUGCCGGGUGUGAAAUCCGUGGGCCCAACCCACGAACUGCGCCCGUAACUGCGUUGCUAGAGUACGGGAGGGGGGAUCGGAAUGCAGGGUGUAGCGGUGAAAUGCGUUGAUAUCCUGCAGAACACCGGAGGCGAAGGCGGAUCCCUGGAACGUUACUGACGCUGAGGCGCGAAAGCAGGGGGAGCAAACAGGAUUAGAUACCCUGGUAGUCCCUGCCCUAAACGGUGUGCACUUGGCGCUGCGGGAAUUCACCCCUGCAGU